rnacentral:miRNA from 1 species
GGAUCGGGAUGCUGUGCACUGUU